AGCGAACGCUAGCGGCGGGCUUAACACAUGCAAGUCGAGCGCUUCACUUCGGUGAAGAGCGGCGGACGGGUGAGUAACACGUAGGUUACCUGCCCCUGGGUGAGGGACAACCGAGGGAAACCUCGGCUAAUACCACAUAUGGUCUACGGAUCAAAGGCUUCGGCCGCCCGGGGAUGGGCCUGCGUCCCAUUAUUUAAUCCUAGUUGGCGGGGUAACGGCCCACCAAGGGUACGAUGGGUAGCUGGUCUGAGAGGAUGAUCAGCCACACUGGAACUGAGACACGGUCCAGACUCCUACGGGAGGCAGCAGUGGGGAAUAUUGCGCAAUGGGCGAAAGCCUGACGCAGCCACGCCGCGUGAGUGAUGAAGGCCCCAGGGUCGUAAAGCUCUGUCGGGGGGGAAGAAGUUCUGACGGUACCCCCAACGAAAGCACCGGCUAACUCCGUG
rnacentral:rRNA from 1 species